rnacentral:rRNA from 1 species
ACUGCUCAGUAACACGUGGAUAACCUGCCCUUGGGUCCGGCAUAACCCCGGGAAACUGGGGAUAAUUCCGGAUAACGCACAUAUGCUGGAAUGCUUUAUGCGUAAAAUGGAUUCGUCUGCCCAAGGAUGGGUCUGCGGCCUAUCAGGUAGUAGUGGGUGUAAUGUACCUACUAGCCAACAACGGGUACGGGUUGUGAGAGCAAGAGCCCGGAGAUGGAUUCUGAGACAUGAAUCCAGGCCCUACGGGGCGCAGCAGGCGCGAAAACUUUACAAUGCGGGAAACCGUGAUAAGGGGACACCGAGUGCCAGCAUCAUAUGCUGGCUGUCCGGGUGUGUAAAAUACACCCGUUAGCAAGGGCCGGGCAAGACCGGUGCCAGCCGCCGCGGUAACACCGGCGGCCCGAGUGGUGAUCGUGAUUAUUGGGUCUAAAGGGUCCGUAGCCGGUUUGGUCAGUCCUCCGGGAAAUCUGACGGCUCAACCGUUAGGCUUUCGGGGGAUACUGCCAGGCUUGGAACCGGGAGAGGUAAGAGGUACUACAGGGGUAGGAGUGAAAUCUUGUAAUCCCUGUGAGACCACCUGUGGCGAAGGCGUCUUACCAGAACGGGUUCGACGGUGAGGGACGAAAGCUGGGGGCACGAACCGGAUUAGAUACCCGGGUAGUCCCAGCCGUAAACGAUGCUCGCUAGGUGUCAGGCAUGGCGCGACCGUGUCUGGUGCCGCAGGGAAGCCGUGAAGCGAGCCACCUGGGAAGUACGGCCGCAAGGCUGAAACUUAAAGGAAUUGGCGGGGGAGCAC